AGUUGAAGUGGGCGCGCCUGCGAGAGGCUCACAGACUAGUCAGCGAGUCCCGCCAAAACGAGUCUUAAGGCCCUGAAGGUUUGUUGUUGUGGGGAUUUUGGCGGGAGAGGCGAGCGAGAGAGAGACAGGGUGCAGAGUAGUGGUGGAUUUGCCAUUUGAUUUGCAGGUAUGUUAUUGGGAUUUGAUGUAUUCUUUCAUGGUGAAACAGUGUACAUUGGGGGACAUUAUUGGGAGAUAGGGUGGUGAUUUGUACGCUUGGUUGGCAGGAGUUUGGUCUUGGCAGUGUGCUGUGGGACGUCAGUGAGGUGGCACCGUAGCAGAUACUGUGAACUAAGGAGGCUGCAUUGAGGAACUUGCUGUCCCUGGCUGCUAUGGUGUUAGUACCGCCGUGCAUGGAGGAAGAGCUGCAGUACUUCAGGGUAGUGGUUGUGGUGUACCUUCAGCGCGUUGGGUCGGUGUGCGGUUGGGCCUAUAGGGUGUGAGGGUCAUGGGGGUACUGGUUAGGGUGGGACAGUGUCAGUGGCAUAUAACAUUUCUUGUGUUGGUGCGUGAAGUGUUUAUUUCUCCUUUUUAUUUGUAUGUGGAUUUACCCAUUUUCUCAUGGGAUCAGGUAUUUUGGAGUGCCAGCAGUGUGGCCUCUAAGAGUGUUAAGCACUCAUAUUUUAUUUGUGUUUUCUUUAUUAUGUACUCAUUUGUGUUUUCUUUAUUAUGUACUCAACCAUUAAAUUUUUAAAUUGUGGCCCGGGUUUCUGUGAACUUAAGCAGGAGGUUUAAAUUAAUCAGUGGGUUCUUGUGGUGAGUGCUUGGUGAGCCUAAUUAAGGUAGGUUAACUGUGCCCUAGUUUGGCACUCAUUACAAUUGGUAGCAGAGCGUAGUUUUAUGCCCUUUUGGGGAAAUUGUUUCAAACUCCUGCUUGGGUCCAGUGCUUUUGGCAAAAUCCACUUAAGUGUUAGUGUGGCACUACUCCUGCACAAUGGAGGAUUUGUUGUGUUUGGAUGAUGUUGAUGGCCAAGGUGUAGCUGGGGUUAAAGUUGAGUGUAAGGAGGAGAGCAGGGAGGUGGAAGUGACCCCAGAGGUAGUUGAUAAAUUAAUCAGUACCAAUGCUCAGUUAUCCCAAGCAGUGGCACAACUGUGUAAUAAGUUUGACCAAAUGGGGCACAUGCAAAACAUGGUGUGGUCACGUCCUGUCCCCACUAUUGGAAAAUUCUCUGGAAGGGUACGGAGGGCCAGUGAGUUGGAUGACUGGGUAGAGGAUGCCACAGAGAAAAUAAAGCAGCUGGGAUUACAGGGCUCUGAGGGAGUGUCGUACCUGUGUGGGUUCUUGAAAGGCCCAGCCCGUCGAAGGGUCCGCAACAGUACUGUGAAGACUGUGUCUGACCUUUUUGAUUGUUUGAGGUCUUCUUUUGGACCAGAACUGAAUUAUACAGACUUAGAAAAACAGCUGCAUGCUCGGGUUCAACAGCCGGGUGAAGGAGUGUGGGAAUUUGCUGAUUCGCUGGGUGUUAUUGUGGAUAAAAUGUACAAAGUGAGAGACAAGGGAGAUAAAGAACGGCAAUGGCUGCUAACUACAUGGUUCUGUAGGAAUUUGAGAGACAGAAAAGUAGGAGUGAAGUUGGGAAAAUGGUGGGAAAAGCACCAGCCUGUGAAGUGGGAGGACAUGGUUCAGCGAGCAGCAGACCAAGUGAGUGAGGCUGAGCGGAUUGUGAAGGAAGAAGCAGAGUUAGUGAGUGGGAAAAAGCCAGAGAGAGUUGUGAGGAGUACCCUUUCUUCACCAUCUUGCUCCUUGUGUGGACAACAUGGACACUUGGGAUAUCAGUGUGAACGGUUCAAGGAGUUGGUGUCCAAGACAGCGGGAAAACGGGAGUCCUUGAGAACAAGGGGCCAGCUCUCAAGGCCUGACGACAGGGCCCCCACUACAGCUCAGAUAAGGAGUGUGACUAAUGUGACCGAGGAACGGAAUGAUGUAAAAAGAGGGAAAGUUAAGUUGUUUGGAAAGACUCUGAGGAUAGAUGCAUUGGUGAAUGGUAUACCUGUAAGUGCUAUGGCUGAUUCUGGUGCUGAGGUCAGUCUGGUGACAGAGGAAUGGUACAAACAGCACCUCCUCCCCAAGCAAGCUGUGAUCUAUGGGAUGGACAUUCGGAUUACAGAUGCAAAUGGGAGGGAAAUUCCCUGUUUGAGCUAUGUGAAGGUGAAUGUGGAAAUUGAGGGAAAAAGUGUUAAAGACUGUGGACUUUUUGUGAAAGGUGGUGGUGGGGAGAGUGGUGUGGUGCAGGGCACUACAUUGUCAGUGUUGUUUGGGAUGAAUGUGUUGAAGGGAGCCGUGCGCCUGGGGCUAACUGAGAAGUGGGGCAGGUGUGUCUGUGCCAUUGAGGCAAAAUUGAGGGUGACACAACAGCCUCUGGGGUUUGCUGUAAUUCAGCAGCAACAGGAUUUAGUAAUCCCGGCUGGUACCAGAAGAAUAAUGAGAGUGUUUGUGGAAAGUUUACAGGAAGUAGAUGUAGAUAGUGUGGUGUUGGAGCCCUUAGUGCCUGGUGAGGGCUACUGGGUGCCUGAAGGUUUGUGUAUAUUUCCCAGUUAUACCAGAGUGGUUAAGGGUGAAGGAUGACUGUCAGUGGGUAACCUGGGACAAGCAGAUGUGCAAUUCAGGCCACAGUGGAAGGUAGCCAAAGUUUCUCAUGGAAGGGAGGUUACUGUGGGAAGAGCUCACACACACACAGUAGCUCAGACUGCACCUCCUUCAGUGGUUAAGGAGUUCAGGGACAGACUAGGGGUGCAGGUGGAUGAGAGUCAGCUUGAUUCAGCACAGUUGGAGAGACUGGAUGGAUUGAUCCAUGAGUACGGAGAUGUGUUUGCUGAAAACGAGCAGGAUUUGGGAUGUGCUACUGGAGUGGAGCAUGAAAUUCACCUCAAUAGUGCAGUGCCCAUUCGCCUUCCAUACAGACAUAUUCCUCCCCCAUGUAUCACUGAGGUUAAAGCUCAUAUAAAGGGACUGUUGGAACAGGGAGUGAUAGAGGAGAGUGUGAGCCCAUAUGCAGCCCCAAUAGUGAUGGUGAGGAAGAAAGAUGGUUCGCUGCGACUUUGUGUUGAUUAUCGAAGGCUGAACGAGGUGACAGUGAAAGAUGCCUUCCCAUUACCAAGGGUACAAGACACACUAGAUGCAUUAGCCGGGGCACAGUAUUUUUCUUCUUUUGAUUUAGCUGCAGGUUAUCAUCAGAUUCUUGUGCGGGCAGAAGACCGGCCCAAGACUGCUUUUGUAACACCAUUUGCCCAUUAUCAAUAUGUGCGCUGUCCUAUGGGGUUAUCCAAUAGCCCAGCAACAUUCCAAAGGUUUAUGGAGUAUGUGUUUAGCGAUCAGGUUUUUGUGACUCUUUUGGUGUAUCUGGAUGAUUUGUUGGUGUUUGCUCGGAGUGUGGAUGAGCAUCUGGAUAGACUGGAGGGAAUGUUGAAGCUUUUGAGGAAACAUGGGCUGAAGUUGAAACCUUCCAAAUGCCACAUACUAAAGCCCCAGGUUAGGUACCUUGGAUUUAUUAUUUCUAAGGAGGGAAUUAAUACAGACCCAGAGAAAAUACGGGCUGUACAGGAGUGGCCAGUUCCGCGCACUGUUAGGGAGGUCAGGGCAUUUGUCGCAUUCUGCUCCUUUUACAGAAGGUUUGUGAAAAAUUUUGCGAAGGUGGCUGCUCCGUUGCAUGCUUUGAUGAGUGGUGAUUCUAAGGCAGCAGUGAGUGAUUAUUGGGGGAAGGAUGAGGCCAGAACAUUUGCCUUGUUGAAAGAGAAGUUAAGUCAGGCUCCAGUGUUGAAAAGUGCAGAUUACAGCAAGCAGUUUGUGGUGGAGACAGAUGCUAGCUUUGAAGGACUGGGAGCAGUUUUAUCUCAGGAGCAUGAUGGGAGGUUGCAUCCGGUGGCUUUUGCAAGUAGAGGUCUCAGAAAGUCAGAGCGGAACAUGAGCAAUUACAGCUCUAGGAAGUUGGAGCUGUUGGCUCUGAAGUGGGCAGUGACAGAGCAGUUUAAGCACUAUCUGAUGGGUGGACAUUUUAUAGUGCUGACGGAUAAUAGUCCAUUGGCACAUUUGAACUCUGCCAAGCUUGGGGCAGUGGAGAGUAGGUGGCUGGGUGACUUGGGAAGGUUUGAUUUUGAGGUGAAAUACCGGCCAGGGAAGGAGAAUGGUAACGCGGAUGGAUUGUCGAGGAGGCCCCAGGAAUUGAUUGAGGGAGGGAGGAAGAGAAGGAGAUAUGGGAAACCAGUCCUAACACCUCGGUGAAAGGGGUGGCUGUGAUGCAGGUAUGGCGUGGUGCCAGUAAGGAGCAGCUUAGGGAUAUGCAACAGUCUUGUCCAGUUGUAGGGAAGUUGUGGAGACAAAUGAUUGGUAGAGUGAGGCCAGCAGAACUAAGGCAGUUGCUACAAGUAGAGGAGUUUAGGCAAUGGUGGAGAGUGAGAGGGUCCCUCAUUAUGAGGCAUGGGAUGAUCUACUGGCGUGGAAGGGAGACAGAUUCUAGGAAGUGGAAAGUGGUGUUGCCAGUGAAUCAGAGACAAGAAGUGCUUAAAGCCGCUCAUGAUCAGUGGGGUCAUCAAGGGGUUGCUAGAACAACAUCACUAGUGAAGGAUAGGUUUGCUUGGCCAGGACUACAUGAAGACAUCAAAUUGUAUGUGGCAAAGUGCAAAGUCUGUAUCAUGGGGAAGGAGGAGGGUGUGCGGGCCAAGACUAAGUUGGGUACGUUGGAAGCCAACCGCCCCUGGGAAGUGUUGGCUGUUGACUUCACUUUGCUGGAUCCGGCCAGGGAUGGCAAGGAAAAUGUAUUGGUGGUGACGGAUGUGUUUAGCGAGUUUGCCCUGGUCUUUCCUACUAAAAACCAAAAGGCAAGCACAGUAGCCAAGAUCUUGGUGGAGGAGAUUUUUCACCGUUUUGGUUGCCCAGAAAGGGUACAUAGUGACCAGGGUAGGAAUUUUGAGGGAAAGUUAGUGCAGGAACUAUGCAAGUAUUACCAUGUAGCCAAGUCUCGUACCACCCCGUAUCAUCCUCAAGGAAAUGGGAUCUGUGAGAGGUUUAACCGCACCUUACAUGGGAUGUUAGUUACCCUUGGUCAGGAACAGCGGGAGCAUUGGCCUAGGCACUUGUCAAGCCUCACUGCCAUCUAUAAUACCACACCCCAUGCUGUCACUGGUUUUUCAUCCCAUUAUUUGUUGUUUGGUGUGGAGCCCCAUUUACCUUUGGACAGGUUCUGUGAGGAAACUGAUAGUGAGCCUACUAACCAUAGCAUGUGGAUUAGGAAGCUCAGAGAGACACAGGAGGCUGCUUGGAAAGCAGCUAAGUUGAACAUCAAGAGUUACCACAAUACCAAUAGGUGGAAGCGUCAGGAGCAAGGAAAAGCAGAGCCAUUGAGGGUGGGACAAAGAGUGUUGCUAAGGGACAAUGCAGUACUAGGUAGGAGGAAGAUUCAGCCUAAGUUUGCAGCUGAGGUGUGGGAAGUUGAGGAGGUGUUGGAUGGGGUGAGUGGGGUGUAUAGGGUCAGACCAGAAGGUGAGUCCGGCUGUAGUAAGGUGUUACAUCGCAGUAACUUGCGUCCUUGGAAUGGCAGUGAGGGCCAUGCAGGGACAAGUAAUGAAGUGCCAGCAGGGACAAGUAAUGAAGGGCCACCAGAGGAGGAAGUAGAAAUGCCAGAUAUGACAGAAGUGUUAAAGCGCUUUGGGUUUCCAGAACCGGACUCAGAGGAACAAGUGGACUCAGUGGUUGAGCAGGAGGGAGAGGAUGCCCUAGGGCCUGGUGAAGAGCCAGAUGAACAGAGUGGUGAAGGCUCAGAGCAGGUUAAAGGGGUUCAGGCCCCUCAACUCAGGAGGUCUAGUAGGAUUGCUGAAAGGGGUGCAACGGGUUCGUCUUGUGUUGGCUGUGGGGAUUGUGCAUGAGGGCAUGCACAAAGUUCAGGGGGGGUGAGUGUAAGAAGUUGAAGUGGGCGCGCCUGCGAGAGGCUCACAGACUAGUCAACGAGUCCCGCCAAAACGAGUCUUAAGGCCCUGAAGGUUUGUUGUUGUGGGGAUUUUGGCGGGAGAGGCGAGCGAGAGAGAGACAGGGUGCAGAGUAGUGGUGGAUUUGCCAUUUGAUUUGCAGGAGUUUGGUCUUGGCAGUGUGCUGUGGGACGUCAGUGAGGUGGCACCGUAGCAGAUACUGUGAACUAAGGAGGCUGCAUUGAGGAACUUGCUGUCCCUGGCUGCUAUGGUGUUAGUACCGCCGUGCAUGGAGGAAGAGCUGCAGUACUUCAGGGUAGUGGUUGUGGUGUACCUUCAGCGCGUUGGGUCGGUGUGCGGUUGGGCCUAUAGGGUGUGAGGGUCAUGGGGGUACUGGUUAGGGUGGGACAGUGUCAGUGGCAUAUAACAUUUCUUGUGUUGGUGCGUGAAGUGUUUAUUUCUCCUUUUUAUUUGUAUGUGGAUUUACCCAUUUUCUCAUGGGAUCAGGUAUUUUGGAGUGCCAGCAGUGUGGCCUCUAAGAGUGUUAAGCACUCAUAUUUUAUUUGUGUUUUCUUUAUUAUGUACUCAUUUGUGUUUUCUUUAUUAUGUACUCAACCAUUAAAUUUUUAAAUUGUG